rnacentral:misc_RNA from 1 species
GAUGAAGAACGUAGCGAAAUGCGAUAAGUAAUGUGAAUUGCAGAAUUCAGUGAAUCAUCGAAUCUUUGAACGCACAUUGCGCCCGCCAGUAUUCUGGCGGGCAUGCCUGUUCGAGCGUCAUUACAACCCUCAGGCCCCCGGGCCUGGCGUUGGGGAUCGGCGGAGCCCCCCGUGGGCACACGCCGUCCCCCAAAUGCAGUGGCGGUCCCGCCGCAGCUUCCAUCGCGUAGUAGCUAACACCUCGCGACUGGAGAGCGGCGCGGCCACGCCGUAAAACACCCAACUCUUCUGAAGUUGACCUCAAAUCAGGUAGGAUUACCCGCUGAACUUAAGCAUAUCAAUAAGCGGAGGA